AAUUUCGGACUUGUCUCUGCUAUGGCUUAAGCUGUGUUGAGUUCUGUGCGCACUAGGGGGCCACCACUGCGGUGGCUAAAGUAGCUGGUAGGGCGCCCAGCUGCCUUGGGGACGGGACUAAGUAAGCAACCACAGCAGGUGGAGGUCUUCCAAGCGCAGCUUAGGCUGCUGAGGGAUGUGCUUAGCGAGGAGCUCGCAGAAGUUUCAACUAUAACAUUUCUAUAACAGUGACAGCAGCCUAGAGGAUGCCCUGACCCCACUGCGGACACAGGCCGCCAGACUCCAGGGUUGUUCUCAGCUAGUGAGAUCAGCUCCCAGCAACCCAGAGCUGAGUUGAUUUUCCGCCGUGCGUUCACUUCCCGAUUCCUGCUACCCAUUCUGGGUCCCACCCUUCCAUUCCACUCUCCAUAACUGCCUCCCGGAGUUGCUUCUCAUCCCGGGGUUAUGACAGGUUAAAUUUGGAGUCCUUGGCUUAUGGCUGGGGUUACUUCCCUGUUCUUUUCUCGGGCCCUCAAGGUAGCUCAGUUACAAACAGUAGAUCCUUUCUGUGAAUGGCACACAGCAUCUGAAUCAUACAGAGGGAUUCCUGCCUUCUGCUGACCUGUCACUGAGGUAUCAUUGUCUUACCAAAGCUCACACGUAGUUUUGAGGCUUGUGAGCUUGCUAUGAGGGAGGCCCAGAGCCACCUGGUCAGCUUUCUGCGGGCAUGGAGACAUAUUCCUCUUCUCUGUCCACGAGUGCUAUGGUUUGAACAUUCUUUCUCAUCACCAGAGUUCACACGGAAAGCCCCAGUGUGGGAGUGUUGAGAUGCCCUCAGACCUUUAAGAGAUUAGAACUCUCAGCUACCUCUCUGCCUGUCUGCAUGCCAACAGGUCUCCCACCGUGAUGAUAAGGAACUAAACCAUUGUGAGCCAGCUCCAAAUUACAUGCUUUCCUAUAUAAGAGUUGCGUGGUCAUGGUGUCUCUUCACAGCAAUAGAUCAUUGACUAAGGCUGGUGGUGGCGGCAGCAGCAGAAGCAGCAGCAGCAUGUGGAGGCAGAGGCAGGAGAAUGAAUCUCUGAGAUCAAGACCAGUCUGGCAGUGCUACGCAGAGAACCCCUGUCUGAAAAGAAAAGAAAAAAGUUAAAACAAACAAACAAACUCCCAAACGAACAAUUAAGACAGUACUCAGUUCAAAUGUUCCAUCGCGGCAACAGAAAUCAGACUUAGACGGUAAGAUGUUCUUAUCUCCCUUUUCAGCUCAGAUGUAACCCCAUCUCACAGGCUUGCUGUUCUCGUUGUGUUCAGCUGGCCGUGGUGCUCCGUUGACGAUCCUCAGGAGCUCGAUUCGGUAUCGCUCCGCUCUGUUUGUAAUAGAAGACUCAGAGACUUAACAGCUACCCACCAUGCCUGUUGCCAUCUUCCAAGAAUCCUCCUCGUUGACUUUAAUGAGAAGAAAUUCACAUGAAUGAACACACAUAUGCACACAUAGACAGAAACAUAGACAGUUGGUUUAUGGAGUUCACCAGGCUCAAUACAAGCUUUAGGUGUUCAGGCCUCAGGGAUUCUUCGGUUUCUCUGCCAGUGACACUUGGGAUGUGUCCUACUGCCAAGAACCUUGGCUUAAAUCUUCUGGGCCUAACUCAAGUUAUCAGAGGCAAUCUGAAGACAUUUUCUGUCCUCAGUGUGCCAUGUGUUUUGAUCCUUGUAUCUGGGCAGGCAGGGCGCUCUAAAAUAGUGCUCAAUGGUUAAGAGCAUUUGUUACUCUUACACAGGACUUAGGUUUGGUUCCCAGCACCCAUGUGGUGGCUCACAACGGACUCCAGUUCCAACCAAUCCCAGUUCUACCAGCACCCACCCUCUCUACACCUCCUCCGGUACUAGGCACACACAUGGUGACUAAUACAUGCAGGCAAAACACUCAUACACAUAAAAUAAACAAACCUAAAAGAUUUUUUUUAAAGAUGAAUCUAUUCUAUGUAUGUGAAUACACUGUCACUGUCUUCAGACACACCAGAAGAGGGCAUCUGAUCCCCUUACAGAUAGUUGUGAGCCACCAUGUGGUUGCUGGGAAUUGAACUCAGGACCUCUGGAAGAGCAGCCAGUGCUCUUAACCACUAACUCAUCUCUUUAGCUCCAGAAAGAUGUUUUAAAAGCCUGGUACAUGACAGCUUAUUGUUGCUUUGUGUGUAAAGCACUUCCCAGCACUGGGUACGGUGGCACAUCCCUUCAAUCCCAGCACCCCAGAAGUAGAGGUGGGCAUAUCUCUUGAAUUCAAGCCAGCCUGGUUUAUAAAUGGAGUUCCAAGACAAAUUCCAGGAAGAAUUUGAACACCAGGUCAUGCUGUGGUUUUCCCCAGCAGGUCUAUUAUGGGUCAGACCUUUAUGCCUCAGUCACAUCUCUCCAAAGCUGUCUAUGCCUUAUCAUCUGAACAUGAUACGGGGUACCUUGGCUGUGCCACAUCAUAUAAAACUCUAAGCAAAUGCAUUUGCUGUGCCCUUUCCUUGACAGACUGACCUUUAUUAGUGCUUGUGGUGGUUUCUAUACGCUGGGUGCAGGCAGUGGCACUAUCAGGAGGUGUGGCCUUGCUGGAGUGGGUGUGGCUGUGUUGGAGGAAGUGUGCCUCUGUGGGGGCAGCCUUUGAGACCCUAGUUACCUGGAGGUCAGUCUUCUGACUGCUUUCAGAUCAAGAUGUAGAACUCUUGGCUCCUUGUCCAGCACCAUGUCUGCCUGGAUGCUGCCAUGCUUCCCGCCUUGAUGUUAAUGGACUGAACCUCUGAACCCGUAAGCCAGCCCCAAUUAAAUGUUUGCCUUUGUAA